UACUACUUACUCGAAUGAUUUUGGCUGUAAAUGUGCCUCAGAUUUUGACUAAAACUAGGAGCAGGCCUGAGAGAAAACUUUUCACAUGAAGCUUCUCAUUUCAGUAACUAAGAUCCAUGGUUUGUUAUAAAUGCACAUGUUCAGUUUUAAAGGAUUUUCAAAGGACAAAUCACAGAUGAGCCAAAGCUGUUUGGAGUUUAAACUUCCCUUAGGCGCUUUCAGGCCUCCGCCAUGUGUGACAUCGCAGGACAUUCCUCCCAGCAGUUUCCUGGCUUUUAUAGUUCAGCCUUCAUCACCAUCCACAACACACACUUCCUUCCUCUGUGUCUGUGUGUAUGCGGGCAUUCCCGCUUCCCGAGUUCCACGAAUGCUGCUGUUUUGUGCCAAGGCUGCAUCCCAAAACGCCUUUCAUCAGACAAGAAGGGACCGCAAAGCUGAUAAGAAACACCCAACAACAAACUGUGUUUGCAGAGUGAAAUGAAUUUCCUAGCUUCAUUUAUCCCCUCACCCUACCUGCAAAAGACGGAACCCCUAACCACUGUGGAGUAUGAUCUCAUUGUGCUGAAAUCAACAAUAGUCCCAUGAGCACCACAGGCACCGGGGGACAUCAGCGACGGAGACUGGAUGACAGAACCUCAUCCACCUCCCACACUCAUUCUUUCCCUCCGUCACUCCUUCCCUGCGCCCACUUUUUUCCAUAUACACAUUUAAAAUCACUGAUGACCUCACACAGCUACAUAAUUCUAUUGCUAAAAUAUUAUUGUGUGUUUAUAUUUGAUCACUGAAACCUGAAAUAACAUAUUUUUAACAAUAACACAAUAUUUUUUUGGCCACUUGGGGGCAGCGUAAACAAGCUGUGAAUACAACAGUGACAUAUCAUCACCUCAUCAGUUGAUAUGAUAAACUUGUUAGCAAACAGUUGCCUAGUUACACAUUGAGCAGACAUGAAGCAACAUUAGAAUCCAAUAUUCCCUUUCCUUUCAGCUCUGUUUUUGGUCUCUACCAACUCCUGUGGGAAAUAUCAGGCUCUCACUAUGUUCACCAGCUAGUUGCCACCUGUGUCUGUCUGUCGUUUUUUUUUUUUUUUUUUUUUACUGAAACAGCUGCCUGCUGCAAUGGAAACAAUGCUAUUAGCAGCCAGAUUUAAUCAAAACAGUAAACAGAAAGAGGGAACUGCAGAGUCAUAUGAUAAUUCUCUGUGGGUGUGUCACUAUGAGCGACCCCUUUUACAUUACACAUAGCACUUUGAUCCAUUGUUAAUAUAAAAACAUUAAUAAUAGCAUCUUUAAAGUUGUAUUUUUACAGUCGCUAAACUACCAAAAAACUACCGAAACUAAUAAUAACUACAUACAAAAACUCUUAUCUCAUAGGGACUCUUGUGCACACAACAGGCAUACAGGCACAUACCAUGCUUCAUGUCCACAUUCAGUACAUGCACACAUGCUGGCAGCCAUGCAAACCACAUAUUUACAUGUUCAGAAACAUAUACUGUACAUAUGUCAACUGGACAGUUUAUACAGACGCUUGUAAACCCACAUACAAGAUUGACCAGAAACAUAAGGGUCCAGGAUCUUUCCCACACACACACUUUAUCUUAUCCAAUGACCUAAUACUCGUGCUGGAGGGAAAGAAAACAUAGAAAGAGUGAGGUCUGUAUUUACCCUAAGAUCACCCCUCAAUUGACAUAAACACACUCAUACACAUACUCCCUACUGGCAAGCAGCCUGCUACAUGGAUUCUACAACAGAUUCUGUGUGUGUUCGUCUCACUUUGUAGCCAAAUUACCUUUUUUUCUUGACUUGCCUACAUGCCUCGUUACCUCUCUCUUUUCUCCUUCACUUUCUGUGUUUUCUGUUAAUUCACACUCUUUUCCUCUCUCACGUUUGAUACCUCUCUUAAAGGAAUAGUUCAACAUUUAGGGAAAUACACUGAUUCACUUUCUUUCCAAGAAUUAAAUGAGAAGAUUGAUAUCAAUCUCGCAUCUGUGAAUUGACUCCUACUUGACGCACAGACUUUAUGCAUUAUACCCCCACCACACGCAGCCUCUAAAGCAUUGUAUAUGUUUAUGACAUUGUACAUGUUUAUGUCUAUUUUUAUGUGUAUGCCUUUCCACAGAUGUGUGGCCACAAAUGUGUGUGGCUAUGACUCUAUACUGUAUGUGUUUGGCUGUGAUCCAAGCACAGCGCACACUACAUUUAAAUCAAGUGCAUAGCACCUCAAACCACUGCAGCUAAAUGUAGCUGCAUUACAUGUGCAGCUGAUAAGCAACACACAAUUCUCUGAA